rnacentral:rRNA from 1 species
UACGUAGGGCGCAAGCGUUGUCCGGAAUUAUUGGGCGUAAAGAGCUCGUAGGCGGUCUGUUACGUCCGCUGUGAAAACCCAGGGCUUAACCCUGGGCUUGCAGUGGAUACGGGUAGACUAGAGGCAGGUAGGGGAGAAUGGAAUUCCCGGUGUAGCGGUGAAAUGCGCAGAUAUCGGGAGGAACACCGGUGGCGAAGGCGGCUCACUGGCUCGUAACUGACGCUCAUGCACGACAGCGUGGGGAUCAAACAGG